rnacentral:rRNA from 1 species
CCUACGGGCGGCAGCAGUGGGGGAUAUUGCACAAUGGGGGGAACCCUGAUGCAGCGACGCCGCGUGAGCGAUGGAGUACUUCGGUAUGUAAAGCUCUGUCAGCAGGGAAGAAAAUGACGGUACCUGACCAAGAAGCCCCGGCUAAAUACGUGCCAGCAGCCGCGGUAAUACGUAUGGGGCAAGCGUUAUCCGGAUUUACUGGGUGUAAAGGGAGCGUAGGCGGCAGGGCAAGCCUGGUGUGAAAGCCCGGGGCUCAACCCCGGGACUGCAUUGGAAACUGCCCUGCUGGAGGGCCGGAGGGGUAGGCGGAAUUCUUAGGGUAGCGGUGAAAUGCGUAGAUAUUAGGAGGAACACCAGUGGCGAAGGCGGCUUGCUGGACGGUAACUGACGUUGAGGCUCGAAAGCGUGGGGAGCAAACAGGAUUAGAUACCCGAGUAGUC